CCUUAUCAUUCCCGCGUCCAG
rnacentral:miRNA from 1 species